rnacentral:rRNA from 1 species
UUAAUUUGACUCAACACGGGAAAACUCACCCGGUCCGGACACUGGAAGGAUUGACAGAUUGAAAGCUCUUUCUUGAUUCAGUGGGUGGUGGUGCAUGGCCGUUCUUAGUUGGUGGAGUGAUUUGUCUGGUUAAUUCCGAUAACGAACGAGACUCUAGCCUGCUAACUAGUUCGCCGACUUUCGACAGUCGCGCGGCGCCACUUCGGUGGCCAACUUCUUAGAGGGACAGGUGGCGUUUAGCCACACGAAGUAGAGCAAUAACAGGUCUGUGAUGCCCUUAGAUGUCCGGGGCCGCACGCGCGCUACACUGAAAGAAUCAGCGUGGAUGCCCACCUGCUCCGAGAGGAGUGGGAAACCCGAUGAAUCUCUUUCGUGAUGGGGAUUGGGGCUUGUAAUUCUUCCCCAUGAACGAGGAAUUCCCAGUAAGCGUCAGUCAUAAGCUGGCGUUGAUUACGUCCCUGCCCUUUGUACACACCGCCCGUCGCUACUACCGAUUGAAUGGUUUAGUGAGACCCUCGGACUGGAUCUGUCUGUCGCUCUUCGGGGUGGCGGACCGGGGACGGAAAGACGGUCGAACUUGAUCAUUUAGAGGAAGUAAAAGUCGUAACAAGGUUUCC